rnacentral:rRNA from 1 species
UACAGAGGGUGCAAGCGUUAAUCGGAAUUACUGGGCGUAAAGCGUGCGCAGGCGGUUGUGCAAGACAGGUGUGAAAUCCCCGGGCUUAACCUGGGAACUGCAUUUGUGACUGCACGGCUAGAGUGUGUCAGAGGGGGGUAGAAUUCCACGUGUAGCAGUGAAAUGCGUAGAUAUGUGGAGGAAUACCGAUGGCGAAGGCAGCCCCCUGGGAUAACACUGACGCUCAUGCACGAAAGCGUGGGGAGCAAACAGG